AGGAGCGACAGGAAAAAAUACUCAUGGAGCUUGACAGGGCUGAGGGCGCUGCCCAGCCAGCAGCCACCUCCUAGAACAUGCAGUGCACCCCACACCCAAAACUACCCCAGAAAUUUAAGAUACUCAUCUGGGCAGAAGAUAGGAACCACUUCCUCCAUCCCUCCAAGACAGGACAAUGGGGUGGCCCUGUUAGGCACCCAGGGAUCCCUCCGGAGUCCCUUCUAGAGUCUUUUCCUUUGCCCACACUUUUGCCACCGCCCCCCCAUCUGCUCUCCUUUCUCAUCUCUGGACAGGCUGGGACAGGAAUCCAGGUGCAGCCCACCUACUGGAGGCCUGGGGGUGGGGAGGAGGAUGUCAGGUGAAAGAACUCUAUCUUUCUGGGGGCUUGGGGGGCAUGGCCCCACAGUUUACUCUGUCCCUCCAGCUGCCACAGGUGCCCUGGGAGCUUUGGGACGUCCACAUAGGAGCAAGCAGUGUCUCUGAGUCUCACAGCUGGGUUUAAGUAAUCAGCCAGAACUUCCUCCAGGCUUCUGCUGACCAAGUAAACACCUGCUCCCUUUUCCUCCUAGGCCCCCCUUUGCCUACAUAGGCCUCUGAGGACACUGUGCAAAGCUGCCCCACCUGUCCCCCAGGGAACCCUUAUUCUACCUCCUACUCAACAUGGGAGGGGCUGUCCGUUUAAGAGACUGCAGACUCCCUGGGGCUAAUAAUUCCAGUAAAAGAUGGGCCCUCUGCCCAGUUCCCAGCUCGCUUCCCUGGGACCUGAGUGUCUCUGGCUGCGACUGGUCAGCGUCCCAGCUUGUUCUCCAUGACCAGAGCAGCCCCACCAGGAAUCCAGGUGCGAGGUGUAGGAAAUGUGUUGGGAUCCUAGAAGGCCUCAGAACUCAUUCUCAGCCCCAGGCCCUUCUCCCAUUCCCCCAGCUACUGGAAGGUUCUCCCACCUCUACCUGGCUCCCUCACCACCCCCUCAGGAGGUCUUCCAGUGGAGUGGAGUGUGGAGUGUCAUUUCUUCAGAUAGAGGAAAGGAUUCUGCAGCAUCGAAGCUUCCUCCAGUGUGGUGGAGGCUGGACUCAAAUCUGGGUUGCACACAUGGCAAAAAUGGGCACGCUAUCCAGUGCUUUUCAGCCACCAAGUUGCAGAUGCUACCGUGAUGACAACCUAACUUCCCUGGGAAGACAACCUCACCAAUGUGUCCUGGAACCCCAUCUCCCCAGAGCCCUGCCCAACUAGGGCAAGAUAGAAACAGGCUGGGGUUAUGGAUCGACCUGCCAACGCCUAUCUUCAGUGGGGAAGCAAUUGUAGAAGACAGAUCUUCCACCUUCUGCACCCCCUAAAGAUAUCUGGUUCAUACUCCCAGAGGGAUAAAGAAUUGGGAUGCUGAAGGAAGGAAGAAAGGAAGGAAGGAUGGAAGGAAGGAAGGAAGGAAGGAAGGGGGUAGGAGUUGGGCGGUAGUGCAGUGGGUUAAGCGCAGGUGGCGCAAGGACUGGCGUAAAGAAGGAAGGAAGGAGGGAAGGAAAGAAAAAAGAAAGGAAGGAAGGAAAUAAAGGGAGGAAGGAAGAAAGAAAAAGAAAAAAAAGAAAGGAGGGAAGGAAGGAAGAAAUUAAGGAAGGAAAGAAAGGAAGGAAUGGAAGAAGGAGAAAGGAGACAGAGAGACCCUGCAGCCCUACUCUGCUCCUCGUGAAGCCUCCCCCUGCAGGUGGGAAUGGAGGCUUGAACCUGCACUGCUUGAACUGCGCACUGUUACAGGUGCCGCUACCGGCCCGACCGUGUCACUGGGCUUCUGUUAGUCUGGAGUUGCCUCCAGGGUUGUUGUGGUGCCAGCACUGCAAAUCUACGGCUCCCAGUGGCCAUUUUUUCUCCAUUUUAUUUUAUUUGAUGGGACAGAGAGAAAGAGGGGGGGAGAGAGAGGGAGCUGUAGUCCUGGUUCUUAGCUUGUGAAUCUUCUCCCCUGAAGGUGGGAAGCAGGGGCUCGAACCCGGGUCCUUGCACCGGCCCCUCUGCACAGUACCUUGUGCGCUUGACGGGGUGCCCGGCCCCUGCCGCUGUUGUCUUUCCCCAGGGCCCUGCUCCACUCCGGCUGAUGGUGAUACGGGGGAUUGAACCUGAGACUCUGGGGCACAAGGUCAUGCAGAGCCCGUGCCGCGUCUCCAGCCCACGUCUCUAGCCCGUCUCUGUGCCCUCAGCCCAGCGGCCCCAGGCUUACACGCUCUUGGGGACCAGGCCCGGGGAGCGGAGUGCUGCGGCGGCAGAAGCCCACUUGGGUGCCGUGUCUUGGGCUGGCUGGGGGCUUCUGUGCAGAUGAGGAGGCGGACGCCAGGGGUCGGGGCUGUCUGCACCCCCAGCCCAGACCAGCCCCCAGGGGGAAGACAGUGCAAGCGGGACAGGGUCACCCGCCCAGGACGUUGAGGGGCUGCCACUCACCAGCCAGGUUGUGAACGCCAGUGAUUCUCGGGGGCAGCCGGGGCACACCCAGUGAGGGCACCUGCUUCCAGGCAUGAAGACCCAGGUUCGAGCCCCUGGACCCCACCUGCAGGGGGAGAGCUUCACGAGUGGUGAAGCGGGGCUGCAGGUGUCUCUCUGUCUCUCUCCCUCUCUAUCUCCUCCUCCUCUCUCAAUUUCUCUCUGUCUCUAUCAAUAACAAAUAAAUAAAAUAUUUUAAGAAAUAAAAAUAAGGGGUAAGUAGCAUAAUGGUUAUGCAAAGAGACUUUCGUGCCUGAGGCUCCGAAGUCCCAGGUUCAAUCCCCCACAUCACCAUCAGCCAGAGCUGAGCAGGGCUCUGGUAAAAAGGAAAGGAAAGAGAGAAGGAAGGAAGGAAGGAAGGAAGGAAGGAAGGAAGGAAGGAAGGAAGGAAGGAAGGAACUUUUGAGGCAGGUGGUGGCGCAUCUGGUUAAGCACAUAUACAAUAAAGUGCACAAGGACCCGG